UACGUAGGCAGCGAGCGUUGUUCGGAGUUACUGGGCGUAAAGGGUGUGUAGGCGGCUCUCCAAGUUUGGUGUGAAAUCUCCCGGCUCAACCGGGAGGGUGCGCCGAAAACUGGAAGGCUAGAGUGCGGGAUGGGAGAGUGGAAUUCCUGGUGUAGCGGUGAAAUGCGUAGAUAUCAGGAGGAACACCGGUGGUGUAGACGGCUCUCUGGACCGUAACUGACGCUGAGACACGAAAGCGUGGGUAGCAAACAGG
rnacentral:rRNA from 1 species